AGGAGCAGAGAGGUCACUUUCUAUUUUUUUAUGGCUCACCAGUGUUAUCAGAGAAACCUGGAAAUCUUCAUGAAUACUGCAAAAACAGCCUUCAAAAAUAGUGACACAAGCGAGGCCAUUUGUGGCAGUCUGGGAAAAAUCCAGAAACUUCCUCUGCCUGGAUGCACCUCAGGGGAAUGUAACUGCCGUGAAGCCAUUUAUCCUUUUGAAAAAUUGAAAGAAAAACUAGAUAUAUUUUUGCGUCGGAUUUUGGUCUUGUUUUCUGAACACAAUAAAACACAACACAAUUGAAGAAGACAGUUCGCAGGCCACAGACAGAUCACCCUUCUACCACUGUUGAGCACAGCCUUCUCCAGACCUUGGAAUCUUUGCCUUCAUCUCAAAGACCUAGAAAAGCAGAACAUAUGGAAAUGACAUAUGAAAACAUGAACUUUUCAUGAGUAUGUGAAGCAAAUUAUUUAUUUUUAUCAUAUUUGAUACCAG
ensembl:lncRNA